AGGAGGUGCGGCUGCCAUGGCGCGGAAUGUGUUGUGAGUAAAGUCGUGACCCGCGGAACGGGCUAAGCAGCCCAGGUCGGGUGGGUGCGGGGCCCGGGCCGGAAGCCGGAGGCGCCCGCACGCGGCGGGAAACCCGCCAGGGUCCACGCGGCAGGGCCACCUCGGCUUAGUGUCCUGGCUGUCAAUCACAGCCAGCGGCUACAGCCUGCUUUGGCAGACAGCCAGGGCUGAGCCAGGAUUGGCCGUUGCCUGCAGGACCCCUGGCCCAAGUCCCCCAAAGUUGCUACAUUCACCGGUCUCCACGUGGCCAGCAGUGCUAGCCUCCCACAGUCUGAGCCGGAAACAUGUGUUCAGUAAACACGUGACCCACUGGUUGGGUGGCCCUAGGUUGAGCAUUAAUGCGGUUUUGAGAGUUCUCGUGGAAGCAGAAUUGGGGGGACCCUGCAAUAAGAAGGGGUGAGGGCUGGUUCCCUGGUGGGCAACCUUGUGAUUUCUUUCCGCAGACUGGCUGGGAGACCAGGGACCUCUGAACCAGGCCAGUGUGAGGCAGGGCCAGUCUAGUUCAGCUUUUGGGCUCACCCCCUGGCUUUGCAGGGAGCUGGUUGGACCCAUGCGUGAAUGAGUGACAGGUGGGUGGGGGCAGAGUGAGACCAGGGAUGAGACCUGAGCUUUGAGGAGGACUAGGUUAACAGCCUACCAGUUGGGAACCAGGCUCCCAGCGAGAAGAGAGAGCCAAGAGUUCCAUUUGAGAUAUGCUGUUUGGGGCUGCUCAUAAAAAAAAAAAUAAUAAUAGUAGAAAAGAAGUUAAGAGAGCCCUAAAAGGCCAGACCUCUAAUUUGACCAUUAGGUAGGCUCUUGAGUCAUUGAGUUUGGCAAACAUUUAGCGAUGGGGCCUGCUUCUGAGGCUCCCACCAUGCUACCUUGGGAGUCAUCUGAAACUCUGGUACCUGCUUCUCAGCCCUGAAACUUCUCUGGUGCCCUCAGCUUGGUGCUUCCAGUGUGGUGCUCCCAAGACUUAGAGGUCUGGCCCACAUGCCACACCUCGGUUAUCAGUGUGACCCUAGGGUGGUCCUGUGUACCCACCCUCCACCUGGGGACCAUGAACUAUGAGUCUCUAGUAAUCCCAGUCCUUGAGUUUCUCCUGUCCUUCUCCAUGUCUGCUCAGGUGGGCAUGGAGGCGAGCAGGACCACCAGGCAGAGAUCCUGCUUUCUCUACAGGCCUGAUAAUGGUGGAAACUGGCUAUCCCACCAAGUCCUGCUUGUUUAGAUAGUUUUAGGUGUCCAGUGAGGUGUUGCUAGCUCGGAGCCAUGUUGGAAACACUGUCUUCUCUAGCCCCCAGCCUGUUUUCCUCCCUCUCAAGGAACUUCUGUGGGCCCUGGGGGUGGGGGUGGGGGUGAUAUUUCCGGGCUGGCCACUCCCCAGAAGCAGGAGUUAGCAGCAGGCCUUUGGAAGAGGUGGUAUCUGCAAGCUGAGUACCACCACUGCCCUGUUUAUGAGGUCCUUCCUUCCUUGUUCUUACAAUUUUACAAGCUGGGACCAUUAUUCUGCUCCCAUACCACAGCUAUGAGCCUUAGUUCCUGUUUUUGUUUCUUUCUUUCUCUCUUUUAGCUGUCCUUUUGACCUUUCUAUAGGAAGGCUGUAGUGUCAGUAGCCCUGGAACCCAGUAGGGAGGCCAAGGACUAGGCUGGGAAGCUGCUUGUCCCCCCUACUAAUGAAACCAUAUAGUAGGGACAGGUCCUAUGUGUAACUGUCCCACCCUGCCUCGAUUCUGCUGAUGUGAGUGGACACAUGAGCCUGCAGUACUGUGUGUAUAACCUCAAUCCCCUGAUUUCUCCUGAGCAGGUACCCCCUUUACCAACUGGGUGGCCCCCAGCUCCGUGUAUUUCGAACUAACUUCUUCAUUCAGCUGGUGCGGCCUGGUACUGCACAGCCUGAAGAUACCGUGCAGUUCCGGAUCCCCAUGGAGUAAGUGAGGCCCAAAGGAGUUCAGGGGCUGGGGAGUGGCCUCCAGGAUGUGGGUCCUGUCCUGUUUUUUAGCUUAGCUCCCCAGGGCCAGGCUUUUCCUGUGGUGGAAAGACCUGGGGCCACUUUGCUUGCUCAGCGGAUGGUGGAGGGGCCUGGUGUUUGCAGAGCUUCAGGCAGCCAAAGAGUAAGCAUGCUCUUGGCUGGCUUCCUGGCUCGCCCUCCACCUGGGGAAAGCUUAACAGAAAGCCUGAGAUUUGUUGAAUUCUUGCCUCCAUCCUUUUCCCAGGAAAGGAGUCCCCGGAGGCUGGGUUGGAGCAUGCUGAGAUUUGCAGGGCUUCUAGGAUGUGAGCUCUGAGUCCCUUACCUCAUUCUUCGCAGUUCCAUGUGCCCCCUUUUAAGGAAGGUUCAGUGCAACCCAACUGCUUGUACUGCUCUGAGUCCUAAAAUCCACAGGGACCAGCUCAGCAGGGGCAGGGGGCAGGAGCAGAUCCCUGGAGGAGCUGGGUUAGGGUCUCUUUGGCUUUCCAGACAUACACAGGAGCUUAUGGUAGCCAGGGUUGUACUGAAAGCCACCAUGGGCUUUGUCCCCCAAGUCCUAGAGAGGCCCCUCUGGCAGCACAUGUCUCAUAGACCCUAGGGGCGAGUCUUUAGUUACAGAUAGGAGCCCAGCCUGGCGACAGGCCUGAUAUCUUACAUUUGAUCAGGGUGAGCCCACCUGGCUCCAGGUAAUGGUCAAGGAUCCAGGUGGAGAGGACCAAGUAAACAACUCUGAUGAAAUCCCACCCUCAUUAACUCUUAGCUCAUCCUUUUGUCUGGAGGGGACAACACUGGAGCCAGCCUCACCUGGCCACAGCUGCUCCUUGGACUUUCACCCUUAUCCCUGGGUAGGAUAUCUCUUUAUCUAGGCUUAGCUCAAACUUGUUUGCUUUCUGUCUCAUCCAGGAUGACCAGGGUGGACCUUCGGAAUUACCUUGAGCAGAUUUACAAUGUUCCCGUGGCUGCCGUGCGCACACGGGUGCAGCAUGGUGGGUACCUGUGUUGGUGGCUUGCCACCAGGACAUAGCCCCUUGUCUACUUCUUGUUGUCUUCAGACUCCAGAGGGGAAGCAAAGGCCUUGAGGGGCUUGGGUGCCUUGUCUUGCCAGAGGGUGCCCAGCCUCUUUCUAUGUAGCUCAUUGAAGGUCCCCAACACUUCUAGCUGUGACCCUGAAAUGUCCUCUGUUCCUUAGAACCACUUCCUUAGCCUGGGCUGGUCUCUAGUAGGCCUCCACAGUCUCCUCCUGUAGUAGAUCCUAAAGUAGCCCAUCAGUGGCAGAUUGAUUAGUGCCCAAGGCUGGCUAGUAGUGCUACCCUCUUAGAAAUGCCCUUCCUACCGGGCGUGGUAGAGCACACCUUUAAUCCCAGCACUUGGGAGGCAGAGGCAGGCGAAUUUCUGAGUUCGAGUCCAGCCUGGUCUACAGAGUGAGUUCCAGGACAUCCAGGGCUACACAGAGAAACCCUGUCUCGAAAAACAAAAACAAACAAAAAAACAAACAAACAAAACAACAACAACAAAAAGAAAUGCCCUUCCUAGAGAAUCUCCAUUUCACCAGAGAGCAAAGAAAUUCCUUUUGUAGCCAGUCGUGGUGGAGCACGUCUUUAAUCCCAGCACUCGGGAGGCAGAGGCAGGCAGAUUUCUGAGUUCGAGGCCAGCCUGGUCUACAAAGUGAGUUCCAGGACAGCCAGGGCUAUACAGAGAAACCCUGUCUCG
rnacentral:lncRNA from 1 species